UGUUAAAAGUUUCAUCCAUUUCUACUAUUAAAAAUUAGAAUGGCUGAAAGAAUAACUAGGCAGUUACACGUGACGUGCCAUGUGUAUCUUAUUCUAACCUACAUGGACUAGUUUUUAAAAGUAGAAAUGGAUGGGAUUUUUAACA
rfam:Gossypium hirsutum cultivar TM-1 unplaced genomic scaffold scaffold3306.1, whole genome shotgun sequence